GCUAAGCUGAGUUGAGAGGUCACAUUUUCAAUGAUGAAAACUAAUGAUAGGGACAUAUGAUCCUAAAGUGAUUAUUUAUCUUAAAAUUCAAUCUGAGAACACAUUCAAUAUGCCAACCAGUCAUUCCACUAAUUACACCAGUUGAAUAAGAUCUGACGAUUUUUCCUUUCUUUAUUUGCAGUUUAACGCUCGGAAAUGGCGGGACAUAGUUUGAAGGUUUUAAUCCAUCACGCCCUACUAGCAGAAUAGUAGUUGGACCGAUUGUUGAUUGCUGUUCACAUUAAAACAAUCGCCUGUCAAUGCAGAUCAUCAAUGAUUUUGGUCUUAUCAAAUCUGCUCCUCUCAUCAAAUCAAUUUACGUGGCUGUAGACCACCUUUCUCGUACAGUAUCUAAAUUGGCAAAAUUAUUGCGUUCCGGCCGAUGAUCUCAGAAUACAUUUUUGAUUGGCUGCGCACGGCAUACAACUGAGUGUAACUCACAUUGUUUCGUUGUACAUUCAGCGGAUUAAGUAAUCAAACAUACCUGACGGACAAAUUGUGCCACCACAAGACUGAAUAGAAAUGAAAUCCAAACAAUUUGACUCUUAUUUAUUUCGCAAGCUCACCGACAAUGACUGGUCAUUAUCGUUCACAUAACGUCUUAAAAUUCCGAUUGAAAUAUUUGGCGUACAUUGAGCAACAAUAUCAUUUCGACGAAAAGUAUUCUCCGAGUUUUUUCUUUGUAUUUAUUUGAUAUUAUGAUGGUCGUCUGUGACAAGAGUGGAGAGACAGCAAUAUCACGUCUGGAUCAGCUUCAAACGACGUAUAACGCACGGAAAUGGCCGGACACAGUUUGAGGGUCUUAAGCCAUCACGUCCUUUAAGCAGAAUAGUAGCCGGACCGAUUGUUCUGUCCACAUUAAUUGAUGCAAAUCAUCAAUGAUUUUGGUCUUAUCAACCCCCUGCUCCUCUCAUCAAAACAAUUUGCGCGGCUGUAGUCUACCUACUACCUUUCUCGUACAGCUCGUACAGUCAAAUUGGCGAGAUUAUUGCGUUCGGACCGAUGAUCUCAGAAUACAUUUUUGAUUGGCUGCGCACGGCAUACAACUGAAUAUACCUUGUUCGUUGCGCAUUCAGCGGAUACAGUUGAUUAGACGAACAAAUUGUACCACCACAAAAUGAAGACUGAAUAGAAAUGAAAUCCAAAC